UCUCGACUAGUAUAUCGGUUUAGUACACGCGCCUGUCAUGUUGAUUGUAAUGUAAUUUGACCGCGCGAAAGCUGGGUUCGACUCCCAGGUCGAGAG